rnacentral:tmRNA from 1 species
GGGGUCGACUGGUUUUGACAGCAAGUCGAAUUGAAAAGUAAGCAGGCCGAGCAUUGAGACCUUGCUCGCAAAUAUAAGAUCUCAAACUUUUAAACGGCGAAAAUAAUUACGCUUUAGCUGCAUAAUCCGAAUCAUAGUACGAUUACGCCACGUUCCUACAAGGUAGGAAAGCUGGAUUCUCCUUGAAAGCCUUGGUUUAUGGCGUUCAGUUCAGGGGAACCGUAAAAGUAAACCUAGAUUUUCAUCUGCUUCGAGUGGAUUUCGAAAUUAAAGAAGCUAAGUAGUUUGUGGCUGUUUCUGGCCUAGCAACCUAUCGAAAAUUCAAUCAGGAAAUAAGCCUGUAGAAAGCCUUUUAGUUGCUUGUUUGGACCCGAGUUCGAUUCUCGGCGACUCCAC